CGUAGGAGACAAACGUUAUCCGGAGUUACUGGGCGUAAAGGGCGUGUAGGUGGUUUCGUAAGUCUGGCGUGAAAUUUUUCGGCUUAACCGGGAAAGGUCGUCGGAUACUGCGGGACUGGAGGACGGUAGAGGCGUGUGGAAUUCCGGGUGUAGUGGUGAAAUGCGUAGAGAUCCGGAGGAACACCAGUGGCGAAGGCGACACGCUGGGCCGUACCUGACACUGAAACGCGACAGCAUGGGGAGCAAACAGGAUUAGAAACCCUGGUAGUCCAUGCCGUAAACGAUGCUAGCUGGGUGUUCAGGGGGGGAAACCCCCUCGGGGUACCGAAGUCAACACGGUAAGCUAGCCGCCUGGGGAGUACGGUCGCAAGAUUA
rnacentral:rRNA from 1 species